rnacentral:rRNA from 1 species
UACGUAGGGGGCAAGCGUUGUCCGGAAUCAUUGGGCGUAAAGCGCGCGUAGGCGGCCAGAUAAGUCCGGUGUGAAAGUCACAGGCUCAACCUGUGAAUGCCGCUGGAAACUGUCUGGCUUGAGUCCGGAAGGGGCGAGUGGAAUUCCUGGUGUAGCGGUGAAAUGCGCAGAUAUCAGGAAGAACACCAACGGCGAAGGCAGCUCGCUGGGACGGUACUGACGCUGAGACGCGAAAGCGUGGGGAGCGAACAGG